UGAUCUCUCUUUGCGAAAUCAAUUUCGCCUAGGGCUCUCAGAUCCCCUAAAAGAUGAGCUUGCCAGACAACCCCUACCUGACACUCUAGACCAACUAAUUGAUUUAAGCAUUACUUUAGACAGACGUUUGAGAGAAAGACGCUCUGAAAAACAACACUCAGACACCCUCAUGAAAGCCUCUCAUCUUAGUACAUUACCCACUCAAAACAAAGCACUGACUAAGACCACUACUACCCCCAUGGAGCUCGGAUUUAUCAGAGGUCCAUUAACCCCUCAAGAAAAGUUGAGACGUAGAGCUAACGAUCUCUGCAUGUACUGCGGGGGGUUGGACCACUCCGUCAGAGAUUGUAACCAACUUCUGCGCAGGAAUGUGGGAACACCACCGAAUAGAAUCGCAAGCAAUCCUUGACUCUGGGGCUACUCACAAUUACAUUGACCAACACUUUGUGCUAACAAAUAAAAUACCACUUGUUAAAAAGUUAAA